GGCUCGCGCCGGGGAAGGUCACGCUCGGGGUCCCCAGACCGGGUCUACGCGCGCCCCUGCCCCGCUGCCUCCCGGGAGCGGCCAGGGUCCCCGCUGGCUGCGCAGUGGCAGGUACCCGAGGUCCCGGCGCUGGCAGCCGGGCCAUACGCGGGGAGGAGCGAACGGCGGGCCGGGGUGUGGCCGAAGCUGGCCGGGGUGUGGCCGAAGCGCUUCCUGUGCCAGGUUUCCGGCUCCGGGUCCCUGGAGGAGGAUCGCGGGCCAGAGGCGGAGCCGCCGUCCUGCCGCGACUUUCAGACUCCGACCAUGGCCUCGCGCUGGUGGCGGUGGCUGCGCGGCUGCUCCUGGAGGCCGGCGGCGCGGAGCCCCGGGCCCGGCUCCCCCGGCCUUGCUGGACCGCCGGGGCCGCAGGCAGCUGUCGACGCCCACGCGCAGGCUCAUAGGCGGAAGGGGCUUAACUUGUCUCAGAUACCCUAUAUUAAUCUUAUGAAGCAUUUAACAUCUGCUUGUCCAAAUGUAUAUAGUAUAUCACGGUUUCAUCACACAACCCCGGACAGUAAAACACACAGUGGUGAAAAAUACACCGAUCCUUUCAAACUCGGUUGGAGAGACUUGAAAGGUCUGUAUGAGGACAUUAGAAAGGAACUGCUUAUAUCAACAUCAGAACUUAAGGAAAUGUCUGAGUACUACUUUGAUGGAAAAGGGAAAGCCUUUCGACCAAUUAUUGUGGCGCUAAUGGCCCGAGCAUGCAAUAUUCAUCAUAACAACUCCCGACAUGUGCAAGCCAGCCAGCGCACCAUAGCCUUAAUUGCAGAAAUGAUCCACACUGCUAGUCUGGUUCACGAUGACGUUAUUGACGAUGCAAGUUCUCGAAGAGGAAAACACACAGUUAAUAAGAUCUGGGGUGAAAAGAAGGCUGUUCUUGCUGGAGAUUUAAUUCUUUCUGCAGCAUCUAUAGCUCUGGCACGAAUUGGAAAUACAACUGUUAUAUCUAUUUUAACCCAAGUUAUUGAAGAUUUGGUGCGUGGUGAAUUUCUUCAGCUUGGGUCAAAGGAAAAUGAGAAUGAAAGAUUUGCACACUACCUUGAGAAGACCUUCAAGAAGACUGCCAGCCUGAUAGCCAACAGUUGUAAAGCAGUAUGUGUCUGUUCUAGGAUGUCCCGACCCAGUGGUGCAUGAGAUCGCCUAUCAGUACGGAAAAAAUGUAGGAAUAGCUUUUCAGCUGAUAGAUGACGUGUUGGACUUCACCUCAUGUUCUGACCAGAUGGGCAAACCAACAUCAGCUGAUCUGAAGCUCGGGUUAGCCACUGGUCCUGUCCUGUUUGCCUGUCAGCAGUUCCCAGAAAUGAAUGCUAUGAUCAUGCGAAGGUUCAGUUUGCCGGGAGAUGUAGACAGAGCUCGACAGUAUGUGUUACAGAGUGAUGGUGUGCAACAAACAACCUACCUCGCCCAGCAGUACUGCCAUGAAGCAAUAAGAGAGAUCAGUAAACUUCGACCAUCCCCAGAAAGAGAUGCCCUCAUUCAACUUUCAGAAAUUGUACUCACAAGAGAUAAAUGACAACUCUUUCUGUUCUUUCUGGCAGCUAUCUUACCAGACUGUGCCUAAAGAAUUUUGUGGAAUACACUGUUUGCUUCAUGUGCAGAUAACCAAAAAUCAUUUUAAAAGAUAUCAAACUUAUUGAUGGGCAAUUUAUUUUUUUUAUUGCAAAAGUUUUUUCAGAAAACUUUUUAAAUGUAAUUAAACCAUCUGAAUCUGUCAUUCUAGUCCUAUAAAUUAUAAUCAAGGUAUCUUGAUGGUUAUAUGUGGUAUUGUUUACACUGUUAAUAUCCACAUGUAAGGCCAUUACACAAAUAAAUAAUCGAUGUUAAAAUUCAAAUGGUUUGUCUUGAUUUACUGUGGGAGUAAAGAUGAGAAAAUGUGAGGUCUGCAUUGAAGUCCACAUCAGUUAUAUUUUAACAGUAUCCAAAGUUUCAUAUAGGAGAAUGGUUUAUUAUAAAAGACUGUACAUAGAAUUUAGACAACAGGUUAUAUACAAAUUAAGAGAACAAUCCACUUCAAAAAUGGAAAGUAGAAGGUAGCUAGCUGAUCACUAAUGAUACUUUGUUUAAAAUUAACAAAGGCAAAAUGCGUAUGAAAUAGUCACAUUGAUUUGGUAGCAGUAAUGGUCUUUAAUUUUCAGAAAUAACUGUUUUGCACUAGUCUUACCAUUCACUAUGGUGUUACAAGUCUGUAACGUCCAGUACAUAACUGUAAUUUGAAUUCCAAACAAAUCCUCAAUAACACGGAAACCCACACUUGAGUGCUCUACUUUAAUAUCCUAAGCAAUAUAGAAUUAUACACAAGAAGAGAAAACAUCCCUCAGCCCUCCCUUAAAUUAAGAGGAGACACACAAAGUGCAUGUGUUGCAUUUUGAUUAUGUCAAAAGACAAUACAAGUCUGUUCAUUAGGUAAAUCUCUGUUCACUGAUUAAUAUAUGACCCACCUUCUUUCCCAAUUAUUUUAUUUUAAAAUUCUAAUGUUGCUAGUGCCAGGUAAUGGAUUAAAUAGUGCCUAUUCACAAAUCAACUGUAUCCACUUUUACAAUAUGUAAAAGGUACUUUUAACUUCCUUUCAUUGAACCAGUGUACAACAGUCCACUGCAAAACUGAAGGACUGACAUGGCAAUCCUUACGAAUUUUACUUACAGAAUGAAUGCACACAAUUUGACACAUUUUCUUAGCUUCAAAGGAUUCUUUAAAAAAGGAAUUCAGUAGAUUGACUUGUAAAUAACCAUUGCAGAUUUUGAAUCUGCAAAAACCCGUCACAUUGCUGUUGGGACAGAUUAAGAUAAGGCUAAAAUUUUUUUCCAAGUUAACAUAUUGAGAAAAUAGAACCAUAAUUCUGCAAUAAAUCAUUAUCUUUUAUUUUUUUUUUAAAAGCAAACCAGUGAAGGAAAGGACAAAAACCUUUGGUUCACUUAUGUAUUUAUGAAUGGAAAAAAUUUAUAAUGCAAAUUUCACUCAUUAAAAAACUUAGGUACAAAUUACAACAUUACAGAUAAUUCUCUUUUUGCUUCUUUUGUUUCACAUGGAGACCCUUGGAGACUCAAUUCAUGUUAAGACACCUAAGUAUGAGUCCUCCAGGUAAAUAUUACACAAAUGGGAAGCAUCUUGGAAUUUUUAAGUAUAUUUCAAUACAUAAAUUUUUAUGCAUGCUUUAAACAAACAGUAUUUUUUUUAAAUGAGAGAAUCUAACAAAAAAAGUCUGACCAGCACCAGCAUUUAAAUUUUCUGAUUUUAAUAUUAGUCUGACAUAGCGUUAGUAAUCAUGCUGCACUGAAACAUGUAAUGGUACAAUCUGAAUAAUGAUUCGUUAAAUAUUAUACCCCACUUCCCCCAGAAUAUUUAGGCUGGUCAUAAAGUUAAAAAUGUGUAAGUAAGUACAUAAGCAUAAUCAGUUAUGGACAGCUUCUUGUAUAAAUUGCUAUUUAGCAAUACACAAACUGCCUCAAAGAUUUAUGCUUACACGUAGACAUUCAAUUUACCAAUAAAACAGCAUGUUCUGAAAAUAUGGGCACAUUUUAAAACAUAUUAAGACAGUUCUGUUAACCAUAAUUGUCCCACAGUAUGACUGAGUAAUAAGAAUCUACUUUAAAAGC